GGGCCUGUAGUCUAAUGGAUAGGACAACCGGCUUCGGACCGGUUAAUCAGGGUUCGAAAAUAGCAAGCAAUCUAUGCAAGUUAGGCGGGCAUACGCUCACUACAUUCGCAUAGCCCCCCACGAGCAGAAUAGUAUAGCUUGUUUUCUUCGAAAGUCCCUGCAGGCUCA
rnacentral:tRNA from 1 species